ACAUUCCUCUUUGACUUAACCCACCUACUAGUACAAAGCCUAACAGUAUGGGCGGUCAUUUAUAGAGAAGCGUGGCUGCUAAACGAGGGCAAAACAAAGGCCUAUAAGACCCCAUGCCCACAUCAGGUUCCGUAUACAAGAUAACAAGCAAUGCUCAAUGGGCCACAACAACAAUGCAAGCACUAAUGGUGUAGAACAAAGAGACGGCUUCAAGGUUCAUCUCAUGUCAUUAAAAUAACAAAAGACGAAGGCUACUUAAUUCAAUCAGGGACAAUACCAUGAAUUUGGUAGGCAACACAGGAAACCCCCAAUUUGCAUAGGUGUUAUAAUGCCUAGCAAGCAACUGAAAAGGUAAGUCAGGUGGCAGUUGUUGCGCAAGCAAA
rnacentral:misc_RNA from 1 species